rnacentral:rRNA from 1 species
AGUGCACGCUGGCGGCGUGCCUAAUACAUGCAAGUCGAACGAAGUGGCGCACGGAUGAGUAAUAUAUAGUUAAUCUGCCCUAAACAGAGGAACAACAGCUGGAAAAGACUGCUAAUACCUCAUAGUGUAGGAUGAGACUAUAUCGUAUCAGCUAUUUGGUAAGGUAAUGGCUUACCAAGGCUAUGACGCGUAACUGGUCUGAGAGGAUGAUCAGGCACAUUGGAACUGGGACACGGUCCAGAAUCCUACGGGAGGCAGCAGUAAGGAAUAUUACGCAAAGGGGGAAACCCUGACGCAGCAGCGGCGCGUGGAGGAUGACACUUUUCGGAGCGUAAACUCCUUUUAUCAGGAAAGCGGUACCUGAUGGAUAAGCACCGGCUAACUCCGUGCCAGCCGCCGCGGUAAUUC